rnacentral:rRNA from 1 species
AGCGAACGCUGGCGGCAGGCCUAACACAUGCCAGUCGAGCGGGCACUUCGGUGUCAGCGGCAGACGGGUGCGUAACACGUGGGAACGUACCCUUCGGUUCGGAAUAACGCUGGGAAACUAGCGCUAAUACCGGAUACGCCCUUCUGGGGAAAGGUUUAUUGCCGAUGGAUCGGCCCGCGUCUGAUUAGCUAGUUGGUAGGGUAAUGGCCUACCAAGGCGACGAUCAGUAGCUGGUCUGAGAGGAUGAUCAGCCACACUGGGACUGAGACACGGCCCAGACUCCUACGGGAGGCAGCAGUGGGGAAUAUUGGACAAUGGGCGCAAGCCUGAUCCAGCCAUGCCGCGUGAGUGAUGAAGGCCUUAGGGUUGUAAAGCUCUUUUGUCCGGGACGAUAAUGACGGUACCGGAAGAAUAAGCCCCGGCUAACUUCGUG